GUGAGUAACACGUAGGUAAUCUGCCGUAGAGUGGGGGAUAACCCAUGGAAACAUGGACUAAUACCGCAUAUACUCUUGACACAUAAGUGUAGUAGAGGAAAGGAGCAAUCCGCUUUAUGAUGAGCCUGCGGCCUAUUAGCCUGUUGGUGAGAUAAAAGCCCACCAAAGCUACGAUAGGUAGCCGACCUGAGAGGGUGACCGGCCACAUUGGGACUGAGAUACGGCCCAGACUCCUACGGGAGGCAGCAGCUGAGAAUCUUCCACAAUGGACGAAAGUCUGAUGGAGCGACAUCGCGUGAGGGAUGAAGGCCUUCGGGUUGUAAACCUUGGAAAUUAUCGAAGAAUGAGUGACAGUAGAUAAUGUAAGCCUCGGCUAACUACGUGCCAGCAGCCGCGGUAAUACGUAGGAGGCAAACGUUGCUCGGAUUUACUGGGCGUAAAGGGUGAGUAGGCGGAACUAUAAGUCUAAGGUGAAAUAUCGAAGCUCAACUUCGGAAACGCCUUGGAUACUGUGGUU
rnacentral:rRNA from 1 species